rnacentral:rRNA from 1 species
UACGGAGGGUGCGAGCGUUGUCCGGAAUCAUUGGGCGUAAAGCGUCCGUAGGUGGCUCUUCAAGUCUGCUGUCAAAGACUGGGGCUUAACCCUGGAAAGGCGGUGGAAACUGAAGCGCUAGAGUGCGGUAGGGGUAGAGGGAAUUCCCGGUGUAGCGGUGAAAUGCGUAGAGAUCGGGAAGAACAUCGGUGGCGAAAGCGCUCUACUGGACCGCAACUGACACUCAGGGACGAAAGCUAGGGGAGCGAAUGGG